GACGAACGCUGGCGGCGUGCCUAAUACAUGCAAGUCGAACGAUCGAUUUCGGUCGAUAGUGGCGAACGGGUGAGUAACGCGUUGGUGACCUGCCCCGAAGAGAGGGAUAACAGGCCGAAAGGCCUGCUAAAACCGCAUAAGCUAGCCAUGGAUUAGGAAGUGGUUAGGAAAUGGAGCAAUCCGCUUUGGGAGGGGCCUGCGUCCCAUCAGCUAGUUGGUAAGGUAACGGCUUACCAAGGCGAUGACGGGUAGGGGGCCUGAGAGGGUGAACCCCCACAAUGGAACUGAAACACGGUCCAUACACCUACGGGUGGCAGCAGUAGGGAAUAUUGGUGAAUGGGCGAAAGCCUGAACCAGCAACGCCGCGUGUGCGAUGAAGGCCUUCGGGUUGUAAAGCACUUUUCAUCGGGAAGAGGAAGGACGGUACCGGUGGAAUAAGCCUCGGCUAACUACGUGCCAGCAGCCGCGGUAAAACGUAGGAGGCGAGCGUUAUCCGGAUUUACUGGGUGUAAAGCGCGAGCAGGCGGCUCGUUAAGUUGGGUGUAAAAGCUCCCGGCUCAACUGGGAGAGGUCGCUCAAGACUGGCGGGCUAGAGGGUGGUAGAGGAAGGUGGAAUUCCGGGUGUAGUGGUGAAAUGCGUAGAUAUCCGGAGGAACACCAGUGGCGAAAGCGGCCUUCUGGGCCACACCUGACGCUCAGACGCGAAAGCUAGGGUAGCAAACGGGAUUAGAGACCCCGGUAGUCCUAGCCGUAAGCGAUGUGAACUUGGCGGCGGAUGGGUAAAACCGUUCGGUGCCGCAGCAAACGCGAUAAGUUCACCACCUGGGGACUACGGCCGCAAGGUUAAAACUCAAAGGAAUUGACGGGGGCCCGCACAAGCAGCGGAGCGUGUGGUUUAAUUCGAUGUUA
rnacentral:sRNA from 1 species